rnacentral:rRNA from 1 species
GCGAAGCUAUAUGUGGAGCGGUGAAAGGCUCAGUAACGGGCGAUUUAUUUAAUCUCCUGGGACGGACAACAUCGGGAAACUGAUGGGAAAACGUCUAAGUUGCAUUAAUUUUAGUGUGACGUAAACGGAUACGUGCAGGAGAGUAAGAUGCCAUCCUAUCAGUUAGUAAGUAGGGUAAGGGCCUACUUAGACGAAGACGGGUACGGGGAAUGAGGGUUUGAUUCCGGAGAGGGAGCCUGAGAGAUGGCUACCAGGACCAAGGUCAGCAGCAGGCGCGAAAAUUAUCGAAGCCCGCCUAGGGGCGAUAGUGAGGAGACGUGUAUAACGAAGUACGUGUAAAGAACGUACUAAUAACUGGAGGUCAAGUCUGGUGCCAGCAUCCGCGGUAAUUCCAGCUCCAGGGGUGUCUAUGAUGAUUGCUGCGAUUAAAAAGUCCGUAGUCAAGCUGACUGACUGACCUGCAAUGUGAUUGAUUAAGGAACGAGCAGGGUUAGGAAAGCAGAGAAUUAGGAGCGACCGAGGGCUAGAGUAUUGAAUGGCGAGAGGUGAAAUUUGAUGACCCAUUCAGGAGUGACAAAGGCGAAGGCACUAGUCAAGGGCGAAUCCGAUGAUCAAGGACGUAGGCUAGAGUUUCGAAAACGAUUAGAGACCGGAGUAGUUCUAGCAGUAAACUAUGCCGACGCCGUGAUAUAGUUUUUUGUGGCUGUAUUGCGGAAGAGAAAUCAAGUAAGGCUUUGGGGAGAGUACGCGCGCAAGCGAUAAAUUUAAAGGAAAUUGACGGAGGAACACCACAAGGAGUGGAGUG